GUAGGUGAACCUGCGGAAGGAUCAUUAUCGUGGGGCUUCGGCCCUAUCGAGAUAGAACCCUUGCCUUUUGAGUACCGUCCGUUUCCUCGGUAGGCUCGCCUGCCGAUGGACCAAAACAAAACCUUUUAUCAUCUGUAAUAGUCUGAGAAAACAAACAAUAAAUCAAAACUUUCAACAACGGAUCUCUUGGUUCUG
rnacentral:misc_RNA from 1 species